GGGUGAAAGGCUGAAGUUGACAGCUACAUAUUGAAAAUACUUUGGAAGUCUUGAUCUCUUUGCAAAAUGCAUUGCAAACAUUGGCUUCCAGCCUGGGGAUGACGACAGGACCUAGCAAACAGAAUCCAAGAGCCAGGAAGUAGAUGGCUAAGCAAAUGUGCCCCCCAAAGCUGACAUUUUUAACCAGAUUAUCUGUGCCUUUCCUGUAGUUUUAUUCUAUCAGCAACUGCAGAGAAUUUGUUAGUGCAGUUGAAGGUUUUCCCAUUUGUUUACUGGAAACUUCGUUCUCACUCCAAGUCUUCUUAUUCUGAGGAGGUGUCACCUUCUAUGUAAUAUCACUUGGAUACUGAAACUUCUCCCUGAACUGGAAGAAUGUAUGCUUCAGUGUGGUAAGCAGAAUUUCUAAAAUGACCUCUUCCUUUCUGAG